rnacentral:rRNA from 1 species
CGCGUAGGCGGGUUUUUAAGUCGGGUGUGAAAUCCUUCGGCUCAACCGAAGAACUGCACUUGAAACUGGAAAUCUUGAGUGUCGGAGAGGGAAGCGGAAUUCCUAGUGUAGCGGUGAAAUGCGUAGAUAUUAGGAGGAACACCAGUGGCGAAGGCGGCUUUCUGGACGAUAACUGACGCUGAGGCGCGAAAGCGUGGGGAGCAAACA